GAGCCGCUUUUAAAAGGCUUAAGGAACCCGGUACUUCCUUUGUUUUACCGUCACUGAUGGGGCUAGCCUGCAAUGCCUAUGUGCAGGAGACAUUGCACGUUCCCGCGAUCAGAGUUGUUCUGGACACAUUAAAGUUCGCCGAAGUUGUAAGACCUGCUGUUUUCCCAUUGCUCCUGAGCAGAGUCAGUGGAAUCAGGGUGCCAUGUGUUCAUAACGUUACAUUAGGUUCUUCGAACGCUCAGCGUAUAAAGUAAAGAUGAAGGUGUCGGCAACACUACUUAUUUUAGUGGCGUCAUUUUCAUUGGCCAAGCGCAGACCGGGUGCUUUGUGCCCGGUGAGAUACACUCCAGUCGGAUGCAUCUUCCUGGGAAAGUUCAUUGCAGCUGGUGAAAGUACAGCACUUGGGAAUCCCUGCGUUUUUGUAUCAUGUUCUCGUAACGGACAAACAGUUUCAAUCACUGGGUAAG